rnacentral:rRNA from 1 species
GGGAGUCACGUGCCGUGAGCAGAGGUAAGACGGAUUCGGCUGGCGUGGUGCGGAAGCAGUGGGCGGAAGUCGCGUGUCGGCGGCUCUGUAAGGCCGCGGUGAAAGUCCCUGGCGCAACCCUGGGAUGCCGGUGGGUGCUGUCUGGCUGGAGGCCGGAAGGGGCGAGUGGAAUUCCUGGGGUAGCGGUGAAAUGCGCAGAUAUCAGGAGGAACACCAAUGGCGAAGGCAGCUCGCUGGGACGUGACUGACGCUGAGACGCGAAAGCGUGGGGAGCAAACAGGAUUAGAUACCUUAGUAGUC